UAGGUCGACCCGCUGAAYUUAAGCAUAUCACUAAGCGGAGGAAAAGAAACUAACCAGGAUUCCCCUAGUAACGGCGAGUGAAGAGGGAAAAGCCCAGCACCGAAGCCUGUGGCAAUUUUGCUGCUAGGCAAUGUGGUGUUUAGGUCGGCUCGUGGGAUCGCCACUCCACUCGAAGUCCAGCAUUGAGUAUGGUUCCCAGGAAUUGGCCCAUAGAGGGUGAAAGGCCCGUACGAGUGGAUGUGUCAGAUAUGUAAGGCGAUUCACCAGGCCGGCCUUAGAGUCGGGUUGUUUGCGAAUGCAGCCCAAAGUGGGUGGUAAACUCCAUCCAAGGCUAAAUACUAGCACGAGUCCGAUAGCGAACAAGUACCGUGAGGGAAAGUUGAAAAGUACUUUGAAGAGAGAGUAAACAGUACGUGAAACCGCAUAGAGGUAAACGGGUGGCGUCAAGCUGCAAGCCCAGAGAAUUCAGUCGGUCAGGGUGUUGUCAUGCGCCCAGCGCAUCUAUCAGUCGGUGUAGGAUUUGGCUAGUCCGCUUGAAGAUGGCGGGCCCAGCUAGCAAUAGCUGGGAUUUGCGUACCGGGCGGUAGCCGGAGCAUGCUAGCCGUCUGUAGGACUGCCUGGCCGAUGCACUUUCUCUGUUGGUGAACACCACGACCGGUGGUACUGCCAGUCUGCUGUAGCCAGCUUCGUUGCAUACUCUGGCCUUUUGGUUGGGGCGUGUGGCGAUCACAGACAAUUUCAGUGCACGGUGCUUGUGUGUUUUUCGCAUGCGGGCAUGUUAUCGGGAACUGGUUGUAAACGGGUCGGCCUGUCGACUUGUCUGUAGUCGUGGUUGAUGGGUGACCCGGUGGGCUAUGGUGGUAUGAAUAACUGUGCAGGGCACCGGAGUUUUCGGUCCGACCAGCAGUAGUCGUUCGCGGCUGCUGUUGCCGGCUGCAUACGCACUGCAGUUUAGCGUGUGCACUGUCUUUGGCAGUAGUACGGGCGGCGCUGUUUACGGCCUGCCAGUCGUUGGGUCUGAUUGUCGUGUCGCCUGCCAAAAUGGUGGGUCCGGCGGUGGCCUGGCGUUGGAUGGUGCCUGUAGACGGAGCUGUCGUUGUGCAGCCGGUGUUUGUGUGCGCGACCUUAUAGUCUGUGGUGUAGUGGUAGACGAGCUACCCGACCCGUCUUGAAACACGGACCAAGGAGUUUAACAUGCGCGCGAGUCAUUGGGUCCUACGAAACCCAGAGGCGCAGUGAAAGUAAAGCUUCGACAUAUAUUGUUCUCGGGGUGUGGUGAGAUCCUGCUGUUUCUCGCAUACAUUUGUCCAGCACUGGGCUAACUAAACGAGCAGUGGGCGCAUCACCGGCCCGUCCCAUGAUGUGGCUAUCUGUCAGUGGCAGUUGUCGCCUUACGGUGGUGGUUGCUUUCUGCGGGUACGUCAUCGGGGCGGAGCAUGAGCGCGCAUGUUGAGACCCGAAAGAUGGUGAACUAUGCUUGCGUAGGUUGAAGCCAGAGGAAACUCUGGUGGAGGACCGCAGCGAUUCUGACGUGCAAAUCGAUCGUCAAACGUGAGUAUAGGGGCGAAAGACUAAUCGAACCAUCUAGUAGCUGGUUCCCUCCGAAGUUUCCCU
rnacentral:rRNA from 1 species